UACGAAGGGUGCAAACGUUGCUCGGAAUCAUUGGGCGUAAAGCGCACGUAGGCGGCUUCGCAAGUCGGAUGUGAAAUCCCUAGGCUCAACCAAGGACGUGCAUCCGAAACUGCAGAGCUUGAGUACAGAAGAGGAUCGCGGAAUUCCCGGUGUAGAGGUGAAAUUCGUAGAUAUCGGGAGGAACACCAGUGGCGAAGGCGGCGAUCUGGGCUGAUCCUGACGCUGAGGUGCGAAAGCGUGGGGAGCAAACAGG
rnacentral:rRNA from 1 species